rnacentral:rRNA from 1 species
UACGUAGGGGGCGAGCGUUGUCCGGAUUUAUUGGGCGUAAAGAGCUCGUAGGCGGCUUGUCGCGUCGUCCGUGAAAACUUGGGGCUCAACCCCAAGCUUGCGGUCGAUACGGGCAGGCUCGAGUUCGGUAGGGGAGACUGGAAUUCCUGGUGUAGCGGUGAAAUGCGCAGAUAUCAGGAGGAACACCGGUGGCGAAGGCGGGUCUCUGGGCCGAUACUGACGCUGAGGAGCGAAAGCGUGGGGAGCGAACAGG